rnacentral:rRNA from 1 species
UACGUAGGGUGCGAGCGUUAAUCGGAAUUACUGGGCGUAAAGCGCGCGUAGGCGGCGCGGUAUGUCGUGCGUGAAAUCUCCCGGCUUAACUGGGAGGGGCCGUGCGAAACUGCCGGGCUUGAGGUCGGAAGGGGAAAGUGGAAUUCCGGGUGUAGUGGUGGAAUACGUAGAUAUCCGGAGGAACACCAGCGGCGAAGGCGGCUUUCUGGUCCGAUACUGACGCUGAGGUGCGAAAGCGUGGGGAGCGAUCCGG